GUCAAACACAUUCUCUUUACACCACAUCACUCACAUAGGAUAGAUUAGUACGAGGAAGAAGAGGAAGAAGAGUUGAAGAUAAUUGUAUGAUGAAACCUACAAUCUAACAACACGUUUUCCACCUAUCAUCAAGGUUAUCUUUGCAAGUUAGAGUCGGAGCGAGAGUUUCGAGUUAAGGAAAUUAAACGAACGAGGUUAAGCGGUGACGACGAGGGGCGAUGUUGAGCAGGGAUGACGAAUGUGUUUCAGUGUGAUAAAUGCUUGGAUGCAUCGUGUCUUCAUACACGGUGUCAUUCUCUCUUGACUCUUCCGCUGCAAUGUAAAUAACGAGCUUAUGUUCCUUUGUAUCAUGCACUCUGAUAUAUUUUGCCAGUUAUUCAAAUUUAAUUUCAUUCA